rnacentral:rRNA from 1 species
GUCGAGAAUCUUUCACAAUGGGGGCAACCCUGAUGGAGCGACGCCGCGUGGAGGAUAAGGUCUUCGGAUUGUAAACUCCUGUCAUGCGAGAACAAGGUACUCAGGCUAAUAACCUGAUUGUUUGAUGGUAUCGCAAGAGGAAGAGACGGCUAACUCUGUGCCAGCAGCCGCGGUAAUACAGAGGUCUCAAGCGUUGUUCGGAAUCACUGGGCGUAAAGGGUGCGUAGGCUGCGCCGUAAGUCAGAUGUGAAAGCUCAGGGCUCAACCCUGAAAUUGCAUCCGAUACUGCGGCGCUUGAGAAAUGAAGAGGAGUCUAGAAUUUUCGGUGUAGCAGUGAAAUGCGUAGAUAUCGAAAGGAAUACCAAAGGCGAAGGCAGGACUCUGGGCAUUUUCUGACGCUGAUGCACGAAGGCCAGGGUAGCGAACGGGAUUAGAUACCCUAGUAGUCC